CACGUAGGGCGCAAGCGUUGUCCGGAAUUAUUGGGCGUAAAGAGCGUGUAGGCGGCCAUACAGGUCCGUUGUGAAAACUGGAGGCUUAACCUCCAGACGUCGAUGGAAACCGUAUGGCUAGAGUCCGGAAGAGGAGAGUGGAAUUCCUGGUGUAGCGGUGAAAUGCGCAGAUAUCAGGAAGAACACCCGUGGCGAAGGCGGCUCUCUGGGACGGUACUGACGCUGAGACGCGAAAGCGUGGGGAGCGAACAGG
rnacentral:rRNA from 1 species